UGCACUGCAUGGUGUCUACAUUCAGCAGUUUAUUCCUGCUGGGUGUUCAAAGGACAGUAUGAUAUAAAUUCAGUAUCUGCCAUUGUUAGUUGUCUUGGCUUUAUGCAUGUUAAAUCACCUGGAUUUUCAUUGAUACAGUA
rnacentral:snoRNA from 1 species